GACGAACGCUGGCGGCGUGCUUAACACAUGCAAGUCGAACGGAAAGGCCCUGCUUUUGUUGGGUGCUCGAGUGGCGAACGGGUGAGUAACACGUGAGUAACCUGCCCUUGACUUUGGGAUAACUUCAGGAAACUGGGGCUAAUACCGGAUAGGAGCUCCUGCUGCAUGGUGGGGGUUGGAAAGUUUCGGCGGUUGGGGAUGGACUCGCGGCUUAUCAGCUUGUUGGUGGGGUAGUGGCUUACCAAGGCUGUGACGGGUAGCCGGCCUGAGAGGGUGACCGGCCACAUUGGGACUGAGAUACGGCCCAGACACCUACGGGAGGCAGCGGUGGGGAAUAGUGCACAAUGGGCGGAAGCCUGAUGCAGCAACGCCGCGUGCGGGAUGACGGCCUUCGGGUUGUAAACCGCUUUCGCCUGUGACGAAGCGUGAGUGACGGUAAUGGGUAAAGAAGCAACGGCUAACUACGUG
rnacentral:rRNA from 1 species